CACACGCCCGCCUGCUGCCGCUGGGUCGCAGACGGGCAGGGAGGCCGGCUCACCGGGGGCAGCCGCGCUCUCCUGCCCCCCGACCUGCCCCUCUCCGGGGGCAUCCGGGUUCAGCCGCCCAGCAGACGCAAGGUGGGCUCACAUCUCUGUCCCAGCUUUCAGCCAAGCUUCCGGAGGGUCCCAUUUGGACGAGCAAACGUUUCUUGGGAAAAAGGCCCAGGCCGGGUGACGCCAGGAGGGGCUCUAGAGCUGGAGCCUGGAGAGGGGGCCACGGGUGCAUCCAGGUGGCAUCCAGGUUUCUUACAAUGCACACAGAUUUGUUUGCUUAUCAGGAAAAGAAACAAAAGACAAACGUGAAGAAAUCCUGGGGAGGAAUGAAGGUGGGAACUGUCCUCUGUGAGCGACCUCCGAUCUCGAAACCUGAGCCAGCUAACCCGUCACUGGUGCGAGGGGCUGAGCAGCCACCUGCCCUGCCACCCACCAGCCUCCCUGCUGGCCCUGGAGGAGGUGGGCUCUGGACCGGCCUGGUCAACCCCCGAGGCUGGCACGCGGUUGGGCACUCUCCCUUGGAACGGACACCAAGCAGCGACAGUUCCCGGGUGUGAGUUAGCUCUCGGGGGAUGCCCGCCAGCCAGUUGACUUGGAGCCUCAAGAUGUGGGGUUUUGGCCCCACUCACCCCCCAACACACCUCCGGGCCUCAAUGUCCCCUUCUUUAAAUGGAGAAGGCUGGUCUCGGUGACCUGGAAGAUACCUGCCGGUCCCACAUGAAAUCCUGUGACCCUAAGGAAGGUGGGCGGGCAGGGAGAUACCCCUGGUUGCCCCAGGAAGUCAUACCUGAGUGGCUUUUAGAUCAUAGGGGUCAGCCUUUCUGUCCCCUUUGAAGUAUUUAUCGAGCUCGUGUUUGCGGAGGGCUGACCGCGGGCCAGGAGUUGUCCACGCACUUCUCAGCACUGUCUCACUUAAUGUUCCACAGACCUACCGGGCCCUUGUAUUGUCUCCAGUUUAUAGCUGUGGGAACCCAGGCACAGAGAGGUUAGGCUGUCUGCUUGAGGUCACACAGCUGUCAGCACACUCCUGCCUGAUCUCCAACCCGGGGCUCCCAGGGAGCUGCAAAGUGCUCCUUUAAGCUUUGGGGCGGGGGGGUCUCACUGUCAGGAACCGGGGCAGCCUAUCCUAACAUGCAGGCCAGAAGACCUCCCAGAAUCUCAUGAGCCCACCAAGGCCUCCCACAAAACUCCGUGGACACCCAAAACCUAAUGAUAUUUGUAGAAAUCCUUUCCAAAGCAGCUGUUCAAAUAAGGCGCCUCGUUAGUCAAGAAGCUGGCGUGGUCGGGGAACACACAACAGCUGGGUUCUUUUUCCUUCUUGCUCAAAUCGGGGUAUUAUUUUUCAAAGCAGACCGGCAGUUCGAGUCCUUGACGGGAAGCUCCACCCCGCCCCUCCAUUGGGCACCUAAUCCUCUAAUGCCCUUUAUCAAGCGCCCAGUCGUUUAAAGUGUUAUUAAAUGCCGUUUUUUUGGAUUAUAAUUUUUACUCUUGAUUAUUU
rnacentral:lncRNA from 1 species